AUUGAACGCUGGCGGCAGGCCUAACACAUGCAAGUCGAGCGGAGCGGCGGACGGGGGAGGAAUGCCUGGGAAUCUACCUGGUAGUGGGGGAUAACGUACGGGAACGGGCGCUAAUACCGCAUACUUGAAAGGCGCCUUCGGUGGGAUUAGCUGGUUGGUGGGGUAACGGCCUACCAAGGCGACGAGCCGUAACUGGUCUGAGAGGAUGAUCCGUCACACUGGAACUGAGACACGGUCCAGACUCCUACGGGAGGCAGCAGUGGGGAAUAUUGGACAAUGGGCGAAAGCCUGACCCAGCCACGCCGCGUGUGUGAAGAAGGUCUUCGGAUUGCAAAGCACUUUAAGUUGAGAGGCGUUACCAACCGAAUAAGCACCGGCUAACUACGUGCCAGCCGCCGCGGUAAUAC
rnacentral:rRNA from 1 species